rnacentral:rRNA from 1 species
AGACCGGUUGAUCCUGCCGGAGGGGACCCCUAGCGGGCUCGCACUAAGCCAUGCAAGUCGGCUGGGGGCCAUUCCGCCCCUGGCGGCGCACGGCUCAGUAAUACACGGUCAACCUACCCUGGGGACCGGGAUAACCUCGGGAAACUGAGGCUAAUCCCGGAUAGGGGCCGGGUACUGGAAUGUCCCGGCCCCGAAAGUAGGCGGGGGGAGCCCCGCUGAGGCCCCAGGAUGGGACCGUGGCCUAUCAGGUAGUAGGUGGGGUAACGGCCCACCUAGCCUGAGACGGGUGCGGGCGGUGGGAGCCGGAGCCCGGAGAUGGGCACUGAGACAAGGGCCCAGGCCCUAAGGGGCGCAGCAGGCGGGAAACUUCCGCAAUGCGCGAAAGCGUGACGGAGUGAGCCCGCGUGCCGCCCGCUGAGGGCGGCUGUCCCCGGGUGUAAACAGCCCGGGACAGGAAGGGGAGGGCAAGGCUGGUGCCAGCCGCCGCGGUAAAACCAGCUCCUCGAGGGGUCCCCACGCAUACUGGGCCUAAAGCGUCCGUAGCCGGCCCCGCAAGUCCUCGGUUAAAUCCACCGGAAGACCGGUGGGCUGCCGGGGAUACUGCGGGGCUAGGGAGCGGGAGGGGCCGGGGGUAUUCCGGGGGGGGCGGUAAAAUGCGUAGAUCCCCGGAGGACCACCGGUGGCGAAGGCGCCCGGCUGGAACGCGUCCGACGGUGAGGGACGAAAGCUGGGGGAGCAAACCGGAUUAGAUACCCGGGUAGUCCCAGCCGUAAACGAUGCCGGCUAGGUGCCGGCCGAGGUUUCGGCCUCGGCC